CAGCAGCCACGGGAAUACGAAGGGGGCUAGCGUUGUUCGGAAUUACUGGGCGUAAAGCGCACGUAGGCGGAUAUUUAAGUCAGGGGUGAAAUCCCAGAGCUCAACUCUGGAACUGCCUUUGACACUGGGUAUCUUGAGUAUGGAUGAGGUUAGUGGAAUUGCGAGUGUAGAGGUGAAAUUCGUAGAUAUUCGCAAGAACACCAGUGGCGAAGGCGGCUCACUGGCCCGAUACUGACGCUGAGGCACGAAAGCGUGGGGAGCAAACAGGAUUAGAUACCCCCGUAGUCCCUGUCUCUUAUAC
rnacentral:rRNA from 1 species